rnacentral:rRNA from 1 species
GACGAACGCUGGCGGCGUGCCUAAUACAUGCAAGUUGAGCGCUGAAGGUUGGUACUUGUACCAACUGGAUGAGCAGCGAACGGGUGAGUAACGCGUGGGGAAUCUGCCUUUGAGCGGGGGACAACAUUUGGAAACGAAUGCUAAUACCGCAUAAAAACUUUAAACACAAGUUUUAAGUUUGAAAGAUGCAAUUGCAUCACUCAAAGAUGAUCCCGCGUUGUAUUAGCUAGUUGGUGAGGUAAAGGCUCACCAAGGCGAUGAUACAUAGCCGACCUGAGAGGGUGAUCGGCCACAUUGGGACUGAGACACGGCCCAAACUCCUACGGGAGGCAGCAGUAGAGAAUCUUCGGCAAUGGACGAAAGUCUGACCGAGCAACGCCGCGUGAGUGAAGAAGGGUUUCGGAUCGUAAAACUCUGUUGGUAGAGAAGAACGUUGGUGAGAGUGGAAAGCUCAUCAAGUGACGGUAACUACCCAGAAAGGGACGGCUAACUACGUG